UACGAAGGGGCUAGCGUUGCUCGGAAUCACUGGGCGUAAAGCGCACGUAGGCGGAUUGCUAAGUCAGGGGUGAAAUCCUGGAGCUCAACUCCAGAACUGCCUUUGAUACUGGCGACCUUGAGUCCGGAAGAGGUGAGUGGAACUCCUAGUGUAGAGGUGGAAUUCGUAGAUAUUAGGAAGAACACCAGUGGCGAAGGCGGCUCACUGGCCCGGUACUGACGCUGAGGUGCGAAAGCGUGGGGAGCAAACAGG
rnacentral:rRNA from 1 species